GACGAACGCUGGCGGUGUGCUUAACACAUGCAAGUCGAACGGAAAGGCCCUGCUUUUGUGGGGUGCUCGAGUGGCGAACGGGUGAGUAACACGUGAGUAACCUGCCCUUGACUUUGGGAUAACUUCAGGAAACUGGGGCUAAUACCGGAUAGGAGCUCCUGCUGCAUGGUGGGGGUUGGAAAGUUUCGGCGGUUGGGGAUGGACUCGCGGCUUAUCAGCUUGUUGGUGGGGUAGUCGCUUACCAAGGCUUUGACGGGUAGCCGGCCUGAGAGGGUGACCGGCCACAUUGGGACUGAGAUACGGCCCAGACUCCUACGGGAGGCAGCAGUGGGGAAUAUUGCACAAUGGGCGGAAGCCUGAUGCAGCAACGCCGCGUGCGGGAUGACGGCCUUCGGGUUGUAAACCGCUUUCGCCUGUGACGAAGCGUGAGUGACGGUAAUGGGUAAAGAAGCACCGGCUAACUACGUGC
rnacentral:rRNA from 1 species